rnacentral:misc_RNA from 1 species
UGUCCGACUUUGGACUAUCCUUGUUUUUAAGACCUGGUUACCUAUCUGUGCCUUAACAUAAGCAUCCGGAAACCGAUUCUUUUCAGGAAUAACCAGGUCUUGAGCCUCAAUCACAUUGACACGAACAUACCAUAGUCUUGGAGAAUGGUAAACUUUAGAGCGUAUGUGUGUAGAGAUAGUGGACGAACUAUCAGUAGGUGUAACUGCAUCAGAGUGCCAAGCAUCAGGAAAUGUUUCAUCAGCUUGAGUACCAUACCAGACAGCAAGCAUCAGCUCCCCAUUUACUUUCACCCCUUUCCUGUCUUCAAGCCUAUACCAUUCUGGUGCCAAUGGGCUAUCAGGUGGGACCCGUGUUGGAAUCUCAUUCAUAUCAAAUCUGACAAUCCCAACAAAGUCGUCCUUCACCAAAUCCUUAUCCUUAACAACAACUUCCAGUACAGAUGAUUGCAUCCUGUCCCUUGCAAAGGCAAACACUUCAUUCCAUUCAGGGUUACGCUGCUUCUCAAAGUAUUUUGUAAUUCCUUUGUAAUUUCCAACUCUUAUUUCAACAUAUGGGUCAAGGCUCCCGGUCACAUCCUUGGUGGGAAGAUCACGAGCUUUAACAACCCGUACAAAAAGGUACAUCAUCUUUUCAACAAGAUCGUAAGUGCUAGCUAUCCUGUCCCCACCUAUGACUCGCCCUCCGACAAUUUGCCCCCCUCCAAGGAAAGGACUAGUCUCUUUCAGUGCAAAAUCAGCAGGCUGUGAUGAUGAAUCAGAGUACAUGCGAACAAUUCUUGGAGCCUGAGGUUCAGAUCUUAUCUCAUUAGUCCCAUAAUUCAUUGUUUGCUGGGGGGCUGCUGCGGGGACAUGUUGCUGUUGCUGUGGUUGUGGCAUUGGCUGGGUAGGAUUUUGGAGGGGGUGGAAAGU